rnacentral:rRNA from 1 species
GACGAACGCUGGCGGCGUGCUUAACACAUGCAAGUCGAACGGAAAGGCCGUGCUUGUGUGGGGUGUUAGAGUGGCGAACGGGUGAGUAACACGUGAGUAACCUGCCCUUGACUUUGGGAUGACUUCAGGAAACUGGGGCUAAUACCGGCUAGGAGCUCCUGCUGCAUGGUGGGGGUUGGAAAGUUUCGGCGGUUGGGGGUGGACUCGCGGAGUAUCAGCUAGUUGGUGGGGUAAUGGCCUAGCAGGGUGUGGACGGGUAGCCGGACUGAGAGGGCGAUCGGCCACACUAGAACUGAGCCACGGACCAGACUCCUACGAGACGCAGCAGUGGGGAAUAUUGGACAAUGGGCGAGAGCAUGAUCCAGCCAUAGCGCGUGUGUGAAGAAGGCCUCCGGGUUGUAAAGCCCUUUUGCUGGGAAUGAAGAGCAGUAGGUUAAGACGAAGCGGUAGUGACGGUACCAAAAGAAGAAGCACCGGCUAACUUCGUG